rnacentral:rRNA from 1 species
UACGGAGGGAGCUAGCGUUGUCCGGAAUUAUUGGGCGUAAAGAGCUCGUAGGCGGUUUGUUGCGUCGGCUGUGAAAUCCCGAGGCUCAACCUCGGGUCUGCAGUCGAUACGAGCAAACUAGAGUGUUGCAGGGGAGACUGGAAUUCCUGGUGUAGCGGUGAAAUGCGCAGAUAUCAGGAGGAACACCGGUGGCGAAGGCGGGUCUCUGGGCCUUACCUGACGCUGAGGAGCGAAAGCGUGGGGAGCGAACAGG